rnacentral:lncRNA from 10 species
AAUUGCUUGAAGCUGGGAGGUGGAAUUUGCAGUGAGUGGAGAUCAGGCCACUGCACUCAAGCCCGGGCGACAGAACGGGACUCUGUCUCAAAACAAAUAAACAAAAAAAAAAGAAUGAUAGAAGUAACAUUUCCAUUGUCCUACAACAGUUUAAGGAUAACUAAAUGAAUACCAUGAUGAAAUUUAUAAAUGUAAAUUAGUUAAUUUAGAUUAAAUGUACAAAUCCCUCAAAAGAGACUAACUACUAAGGCAAACUCAAAAAGAAAGCAAUAACAUGAACAUCCCUAUAUAUAUGUUUUAAAUUUAUUAAUACCCACCUAGAUAAACUAACUGACAAAUUUUACUAAUAUUUAAGGAGAUAUAAUUUAUACUUUACACAAAACUUUAAGAAAUAAAAAAGAGGAAACACUUUUCAACAUGUUUUAUUAGUCUACCAUUAUCCCCAUACCAAAACCUUAAAAAAGACAUUACAAGAAAAUGUCCUGUAGACAAAUAUGUAUUUAGAUGAGGAAUUUAGAUUUCAAAAACUUCAGCAAACUAUUAUCCAAUUAAAUCCUCUCAUGUCUGUGUGUGUAUGUGUGUGCAUGCAUGUGUGUUUGUAAAAUAUAUCAUUACUAAUUGGCGUUUAUCUUGGGAGUUCAAGAUGGUUUCCAUAUUCAAUCAACCCAUCAAUGUGGACUAUGGUCAUUUGAAAAGACCAGCAAAUCCUCUACACAAAAGGCCACUAUAAAUUCAUUAAAACAGCCUUCCAUCACUCUCGAAAUUGACCAAAGCAUUCAACUACCUGAAAAAUAUUUAUGUUUGGAAAGCUAUUGAAAUGCAGUUAAAAAUAUCAGGAAACCUGUUUUUACGUUUUGUCCUGAUCUUGCUAAAUCCUUCUUAAUUUUGUGAGACACUGCUUCUCCUUCCACUGUUCCUUUACUUUCUCCUUCCCCUUUGUUUUUGCCUCCCCCUUCCUCUCCCUUUUCUACAUUCCUUCUCUCUCCUAAAUGCUGUAUAAAUUUCUACAUAUAUAAUCAUAUUAUUUACAAAUAGGAACAGUUUUACUUAUUUCUUUCCAAUCUGCAUUUAUUUUAUUCUCCCUUUUUUUCCUUACACACUGGAUAGAACUCUAAGUAUUAUGUUGAAAAAGAGUGAUAAAAGCAAACAUUUUUGCUUUAUUCCUGAGCAUACAUGUGGAAAACAUUCAGUGUUUCACAGCUAAAUAUGAUGGAUUUUUUUGUAUGCUCUUUAUCAAGAUGAAGGAAUUUUCUGCUAUUUCUGGUUUGCUGAAUUUUUAUCACAAGUAACUGUUGAAUAUUGUCUUUUUCCCCUGCAUUUAUUGAAAUGAUCAUGUGUUUUCCUAUUUUAGAAUAUUAAUAUGGUGAACUAUAUUAUUAGAUUUUUUUAAAUAUUGAAACUGUCUUGCAUUUCUGGAAUAAACACGGCUUGGUCAUGUGUGUCACUUUUUUACAUAGUGUCGUAUUCAAGUUAUUGAGGAUUUUGCAUCUAGGGUAUACUUGUAGAUUUGCAGAUUUGCAUCUAGGUUAUGUUGGUCUAAAGUUUUGUUUGUUUUUUUUCCUUUUCUUUUUUUAUCAUCUUUGUCUUAUUCUGUUUAAGUGUCAUGCUUGCUUCAUAAAAUGAAUUGAGAAACAUUUCUUCCUCUUCUGUUUCUCGAAAAUUGUAGAGAACUCUUGUUUUUUGUUGUUGUUUGUUUGUUGUUUUGUUUUUUUCUUAUUUUUAUCCUCAUACUGAGAACCAAAUAGUCUGGAGUGUAAAAUAUGGUUCCUCAUUCCAGUUAAGUCUAGUACACAAUGACAACAACCAUCUUGGGUUAAGCAUUGGCCUACAAACAGAAAAAAACCUUCAGGGAGAUAGAUGCUGAUCUAGGCAUUGUGAGAAAAGCUGAAUUCAUUUUUAAUCAUGAAUGGCUUUUAAGGAAAGAAGAUUUAUUAACUAAAAUAAAUAGAUUAGAGGGAAUUCUCAUCUAUGAGAGAGGAAGGGAUGGGAUUCAACCUGGAAAAAAUGAUGAAGUUUUAGUGAACUGGGUAAGGUAGACUCAACAAUUAAUGAUGGAUAAUGCUAGGACCCAGCACCGGUAAUGAGCUUGUAUUAUGACUCAAUAGCAUCACUUUAUCACUUUAACGCAGAUGGAGGCCUAAAUAACCAUAGGGCAAUGGUUCUUCUUAGAUGCAGAAGGACACAUUUAUAUAAUCUUAGGGACCCCAUCUCUGAGGUCACUCAUAAUUUAUAUUAAUUCAUUAUUAUUGCCAUUGCCCCAAGAAUAGAUAAGGAUAAGACAUCCUGUAGCACAGGUAGCAGAGAUAUAAACUAUUCUUAUUCUUGUGUCUUGUCUAUAGGAAGGGAGUGUAUCCUGGUGUAUGACAGCAUAUAGUAGAGACCAGUGUCAAUUAGGGCCUGUGAACUGAGACAGGGUGACUGGCUAAGUCCACAACCCAUUAGAAACCCAGAAAUAAUCAAAUCAUGGAGAGAUUAGUCCAGGGACAAUAAAUAUGGAUUAGGGAAGAAUGUGUUAACUCAGCAGGCCAGGGUUUCUUCAACCCUGCACAUUCAAAGAGGGAUCAUGGAAAGGAAGCUGAAUUUGCUGAGUUUUGCCACGUGGGCAUUGCAUGCCUAUGUGAUUAACCACCAAUAAAAACCUGGGACAUCAAAAAAUAAAUAAGCUGCUUUAAUUGCCAAGAAUUCACAUGUGGUUGUAUGCAGCAUUACUGGGAGAUUGAAGUGUAUCUGCAUGUGAUUCUACUGUGAUGGACACUUGUAAAUUUGUGCCUGGAGUCUCCUGGAAUUUGCCCUGAGAAUCUUUUUCCUUUGUUGAUAAGAAUCUGCAUCCUUUUGUUUUAAUAAACGAUAAACAUGAGUAUAAUUGCUUCUCUGAGUUCUGAGAGUUUUUUAAAUAAAUAAUCAAAGCUGAAAAGCAAUGGAGACCCCCACCAAAACAUCUUUACACAUUUCAAUUUUGUAUUGAAGUAAAUUUUAUUUUCUUUUUUAUACCUCCCGUAUAUAUUCUAUUUUUCUCAUUAUUAUUUAUUUAUCCCAAAUCUUUUAUCUGUGAUCAUUUUCCUUUGUUUGAAAUUUGUCUUUUGAGAUUUCUUUAGAAGGUGCUUUUGGAUGAUAAAUUUUCUGUUAUUCUUUGUCUAAAAUGUCAUUAUUUUGACUCAUUUAUAAAAGGAGUUUUUGUGUUUUAUAAACCUCUAAUGUAUAGAAGUGUGUCUAAACUCAUUGAGGAUAUUUUCCAAAUUUUUUCCUGCUUUUUAUUGCUGUUGAUAAGAAAUCAGUGUUGGUAUUUUGACAUUUAAGUUAUGUGUCAUUUUGUUGUGGUAGUUCUGAAGAUCUUCCCUCUGUUUUAUAUUCUCCUUCACCUUUCAUAAAUGUACUUUAUAUUUAUUUGGUAAUAAAUUUUGAACAUAUACUAUGCUAUAAAGAUAAUCUAGGCCCUUUGGUUACAUCUCGUAAAUAAAAUCAACAAAAUCUGUUUUGAGAUUAUAUUGUAAUAUAAGAUACCCAAAGUAAAUAGGAUAUGUACCAUAUGUUUGAAGGUGGUAAAUACGAUGAGAAAAAUAGAUCAGGUCAGGAAGAAUGAAGAUGAUUGAAGGUACAGGUUAUGAUAAAAACUUAGGUGUGCCGAGGAAUGAAUUCAUCUUAUGUAUCUUGAGUGUAAUGUCUUAUUUCUCCUGAAUCUGAGAAUUUGAUGUCUUUCAUUAGGUAUGUCAGUGAAUUUCACUAAUG